rnacentral:tRNA from 1 species
ACCUGGGUGGCUCAGUCGGUUAAGCAUCUGACUUUGGCUCAGGUCAUGAUCUCACGGUUCGUGGGUUCUAGCCCCACGUUAGGCU